rnacentral:lncRNA from 1 species
GACAACUCGCGGGGAUUGUUUUCCACACCGUGGAAGCUUUGUUCUUUUCGUUUUUUGCAAUAAAUCUUGUUGCUGCUCGCUUUUUGGGUCCACAUUGCUUUUAUGAGCUGUACCACUCACCGUGAAGAUCUGCAGCUUCACUUCAGAGCCUAGCGAGACCACAAGCUCACUGAGAGGAACAAACAACUCCAGACGCGCUGUCUUAAGAGCUAUAACACUCACCGCGAAGGUGUGCAGUUUCACUCCUGAGCUAGUGAGACUACGAAGCCACUGGAACGAAGAAACUCCAACCACGUUUGAACAUCAGAAGGGGCAGACUCCAGACGCUUCAUCUUAAGAGCUGUAACACUCACUGUGAAGGUCUGCAGCUUCACUCCUGAGCCAGCGAGACCACGAACCGAUCUGAACAUCAGAAGGGACAGACUCCAGAUGCCCCACCUUAAGAGCUGUAAUACUCACUGCAAGGGUCUGCAGCUUCAUUCUUGAAGUCAGACCAAGAACCCAGCAAUUCCCAACACACAGGGACCAGCUUCUUUCCUAACUCACUUAGGCUCUUCGUGCUGCUCUGGCAACUAACACCCUUGGCUGCAGGGGCUUGGACACUACCCUUAGUCACUGACAAUUGUGUGAAGGCUGCUGUCGUUAACUUCACUUGAUCACCUUAGGCUCCUGUGAAGUGGUGAGCAAUUCAAACAAAUUCCUGUCGUCAAAUCAUGAGUCCACCUGUCCCGAGUUGGAAGUCUGAACUCAUGUUCCUGGAUUCCUCCCAUGCAUCUUGGUGCUGGUGUGGGGCCUGAACUCAGCCAAUCCGCAACACCUCCAGGAGUCUUCCUCUUAGAUGCUGAGGCCACGGAGAAGGAAGCAGCACAAAGAAUGAACCCUGGAGAGGGUGCCAGAGGCAGGCGGGUUCCAGCCAUGUGGCGGCACAGCCUUACUGGGAUAGUCUAGCUGUGUCACUCAGGAUAUACAUCUUUCCACACCAAUAGACCUUGUUUUCCGAUGUAGCAUUAUUUUUCAUAGUUGGCGAAUAUACAGUUAUGGAUUCAUAACAGCAAGAUGGAGAAAUUGCACUGCAGAGAAAUCUUUAAAAGCAAUUACCUAAUACUGCAGAUUGCUGAACUGUACCCACACCCAAGACUGAGCAUUGGAUCAAUCCAGAAUAUACAUCAGGUGUUCUGCAAUGUCUGCCUAAAACCAUGACUCUGCCUCCUCCAGCUGUUGCUACAUCUCACUAUGGGUUUCCUGUGACAUUUUGAGCAAGUAUGCCUCUGUGACUGGGGUUCUUACACUCCAGAAUGGAUGAGAAGCACCGUAAGUGGCUUUUAAAAUGAAUAUUCCCUGGCCCUUCAGUCGCUCUAUAGGUCAAGAAUCUGAAUUCUCAACCUGUCUAGAAGGUUCUGGUUUUAAUGGUCUGUGGGCUGCACAUUGAGAAACCUGUUCAGCGAGUGCAACAAAGGUUCCACAUGUGAGAAAGGAAGCAUCAGGUCUCUUGAGCCUGUUCUUUAAUCUGUAGGCUGCACCUUCUCUUUAAAUUCUGCUAAUAACACCAUGCGAGAAAACACCCGAGCUUGAAAAGCCCAUGUUCCAACAUAACUGUCCUUCACCACUCUGGAAAAUUAAUGGUUUGUUUCGAUUAUCCCUUUGUUAAACUCCAAAGUCAAAGAGCUCUGAAAGGCAUACGGUUAUUUUAAGUUUCAGGUGAUUUCUGUUGCCAAAUAUUUUAAAAAUUUAAAAUUGCUACGUGACCUCUUAGUAGUACUAUUAGAUUUCCUGACAAUAAAAAUAAGUCUUUUGGUUUCACCAUUUAUAGUUAGUACAGCUAAUAUUAAGUAUAAUUUUAAAAGCCUUUUAUUUUCUCAGAAAGAAAAAAUAAUCAAAAUCUGCUCAGUGUGGUAUUGAAUAAUUAAAAACAAAAGAACAGUAUCUUCACAUUAGUGUUUAAUAUUAAUUGCUUUUUUACCCUUGACACUGGUGCUAAUUAAAUUUUCAUUUUAUUUUCCAUGACUUGUUUAAACAGUUUUUGCAAAUUAUUGCUAAUCAGCCUAAUAAAACUGAAUCACCUAUUAAACAAUUUUGUUUUGAAUUAAAUGGCAUUAAAAUAA